rnacentral:rRNA from 1 species
UACGAAGGGGGCUAGCGUUGCUCGGAAUCACUGGGCGUAAAGCGCACGUAGGCGGAUUGCUAAGUCAGGGGUGAAAUCCUGGAGCUCAACUCCAGAACUGCCUUUGAUACUGGCGAUCUUGAGUCCGGGAGAGGUGAGUGGAACUGCGAGUGUAGAGGUGAAAUUCGUAGAUAUUCGCAAGAACACCUGUGGCGAAGGCGGCUUUCUGGGCCUUACCUGACGCUGAGACGCGAAAGCGUGGGGAGCGAACAGG